rnacentral:rRNA from 1 species
CCUACGGGUGGCAGCAGUGGGGAAUAUUGGACAAUGGGGGGAACCCUGAUCCAGCCAUGCCGCGUGUGUGAAGAAGGCCCUCGGGUUGUAAAGCACUUUCAGUGAGGAAGAACGCCUGGUGGUUAAUACCCAUCAGGAAAGACAUCACUCACAGAAGAAGCACCGGCUAACUCCGUGCCAGCAGCCGCGGUAAUACGGAGGGUGCGAGCGUUAAUCGGAAUUACUGGGCGUAAAGCGCGCGUAGGUGGCUUGAUAAGCCGGUUGUGAAAGCCCCGGGCUCAACCUGGGAACGGCAUCCGGACCUGUCAAGCUAGAGUGCAGGAGAGGAAGGUAGAAUUCCCGGUGUAGCGGUGAAAUGCGUAGAGAUCGGGAGGAAUACCAGUGGCGAAGGCGGCCUUCUGGACUGACACUGACACUGAGGUGCGAAAGCGUGGGUAGCAAACAGGAUUAGAUACCCUAGUAGUC